CAAGAUCUCGCAUGACCAGGCAAAUUUGGCCUUAUUAAAGUCUUUGCUUCAUUCCCGUUACACGACAAUAAGCAAAGACGGGCAGCUAUAAUAACCCAAAUUUGUCCGGCCCAAAUAAUAAACACAAAUUAAAAAAAACAAAUAAAAAUUAAAAGUUCAUUUUUAAGGUCCAUUUACAUCCCGCCCAAUAACAACUAACCCGUUUAGCCCAAAACCUAACUACAAAAUAGCCCAAACCCGAAUACCCAACGUAAUCAGCCCAAUUACCC
rnacentral:lncRNA from 1 species